rnacentral:rRNA from 1 species
UCAAGCGAAGAAGGGCACACGGCGGAUGCCUAGGCGUAAGGGGGCGAGGAAGGACGCGGCAAGCGGCGAAACGCUCCGGGGAGCUGCAAGCGAGCAACGAUCCGGAGGUCUCCGAAUGGGGGAACCCACUUGAGGCGAACCUCAAGUAUCUCAUACUGAAUCCAUAGGUAUGAGAGGCGAACCGGGUGAACUGAAACAUCUAAGUAACCCGAGGAAGAGAAAGAAAGAUCGAUUCCCUAAGUAGCGGCGAGCGAACGGGGAAGAGCCCAAACCAUAUAUGUGUAAGGCCGCAACCGUUGCAUAUAUGGGGUUAAGGAGUGUCGAGCCGAAUUGCGGAUAGGCGAGCGAAGGCGAGGGGUAGCAGAACACUGCUGGAAAGCGGGGCCACAGAAAGUGACAGCCUUGUAUGCGAAACCCUAGAGUCUAGCUGACACAUCCAGAGUACUGCGGGGCACGUGAAACCCCGUAGGAAGUAGGGAGGCCCAUCUCCCAAGGCUAAAUACCACCUUACGACCGAUAGCGAACUAGUACCGUGAGGGAAAGGUGAAAAGCACCCCGGGAGGGGAGUGAAAGAGAACCUGAAACCGUGUGUCUACAAGCGGAGGGAGCUAAAGCGACCUCGUACUUUUUGUAGAACGGACCGGCGAGUUACCGUAUCAAGCGAGGUUAAGGAGUCAAGCUCCGGAGCCGAAGCGAAAGCGAGUCUUAACAGGGCGAAUAGUUUGAUGCGGUAGACCCGAAACCGUGUGAUCUACCCAUGGCCAGGGUGAAGCGGAGCUAACCCUUCGUGGAGGCCCGAACCGAAUUGACGUUGAAAAGUCAUGGGAUGAGCUGUGGGUAGGGGUGAAAUGCCAAUCGAACACGGAGAUAGCUGGUUCUCCCCGAAAUAGCUUUAGGGCUAGCCUUAACGUAAAAUCCUCGGGGGUAGAGCACUGAAUGGGCUAGGGGCCGAAAAGGUUACCGAACCCUAUCAAACUCCGAAUACCGAGGACAAGUAGUUAGGAGUCAGACUAUGGGGGAUAAGCUCCAUAGUCGAGAGGGAAACAGCCCAGACCGUCAGCUAAGGUCCCCAAGAUGAACCUAAGUGGGAAAGGAUGUUGUAUUACGAAGACAACCAGGAUGUUGGCUUAGAAGCAGCCAUUCAUUUAAAGAGUGCGUAAUAGCUCACUGGUCAAGUGAUACUGCGCCGAAAAUGUAACGGGGCUCAAGGUUCACACCGAAGCUGCGGCUUUGUAGCGGAGCUACAAGGGGUAGGGGAGCGUUCCUAUAGGGCAGAAGCAAUGCUGCAAGGCAUUGUGGACCGAUAGGAAGUGAGAAUGCCGGUAUGAGUAGCGAGAGGCAGGUGAGAAUCCUGUCCGCCGAAAGCCUAAGGUUUCCUGAGGAAGGCUCGUCCGCUCAGGGUAAGCCGGGGCCUAAGCCGAGGCAGAGCAUGCGUAGGCGAUGGACAACUGGUUGAAAUUCCAGUGCCACCUAAGGCCGUCAGAGCGAGGGGGUGACGCAGGAGGGUAAGCUGAGCGCGCGGUUGGUAGAGCGCGUCCAAGCACAAAGGCAAGCCUGGUAGGCAAAUCCGCCAGGUCAUGGCUGAAGUGUGAAGGGGAGUGAAACUACAAGUAACGAAGCAGCUGACCCCAUACUGCCGAGAAAAGCCUCUAGCGAGGCCAAGGGUGCCCGUACUGCAAACCGACACAGGUAGGCGAGGAGAGAAUCCUAAGGCGAGCGGGAGAACUCUCGUUAAGGAACUCGGCAAACUAACCCCGUAACUUUGGGAGAAGGGGUACCUGAGUAACUGCAUGAAAACAUGUGGUGAAAAGGUCGCAGUGAAUAGGCCCAAGCGACUGUUUAUCAAAAACACAGGUCUCUGCUAAGGAGAAAUCCGACGUAUAGGGGCUGACGCCUGCCCGGUGCUGGAAGGUUAAGGGGACUGCUUAGCGAAAGCGAAGGCAAGAACCGAAGCCCCAGUGAACGGCGGCCGUAACUAUAACGGUCCUAAGGUAGCGAAAUUCCUUGUCGGGUAAGUUCCGACC